rnacentral:rRNA from 1 species
ACUCAAAGGAAUUGACGGGGACCCGCACAAGCGGUGGAGCAUGUGGUUUAAUUCGAGGCAACGCGAAGAACCUUACCAGGCCUUGACAUGUCCAGUAUGGGCUCCAGAGACGGAGUCCUUCAGUUUGGCUGGCUGGAACACAGGUGCUGCAUGGCUGUCGUCAGCUCGUGUCGUGAGAUGUUGGGUUAAGUCCCGCAACGAGCGCAACCCUCGUCCUUAGUUGCCAUCGGGUAAUGCCGGGAACUCUAAGGAAACCGCCAGCGUUAAGCUGGAGGAAGGUGGGGAUGACGUCAAGUCCUCAUGGCCCUUACGGCCUGGGCUACACACGUGCUACAAUGGCGGUGACAGUGGGCCGCGACCUGGCAACAGGUAGCUAAUCCCAAAAAACCGUCUCAGUUCGGAUUGUCCUCUGCAACUCGAGGGCAUGAAGUUGGAAUCGCUAGUAAUCGUAGAUCAGCACGCUACGGUGAAUACGUUCCCGGGUCUUGCACACACCGCCCGU